AAAACCAAUAAUCUACACAUACGACGAAAAUCGAUCCAUAGAUCACCGAAACCUCCGGCCGGAGUUCAUCACGUUGCAACGGGUACAUCGCCAUACUUUUAACACCGUCCGCUGAUGAGACACACAGCAUGAAGAUAACAGCUUAUUCGUCGUAUCGUUUACGAAACAACGCAACGAGAAGAACAAAAGGGGGAAGUAGGAGAAAAGCGAUUCCCAUUACUCGACAACAAAAGUUGAUCCUGCACUCGGAUCUUAAAACCAGAGUAAAAGAAAAACACGGCGCCAACUGUCGGUGAAAAAAUCCUAGACUUGAUUUAAAAAAUGAAAUAAAUAAAGUAAAAU